rnacentral:rRNA from 1 species
ACGCUCGACACCUACGAGAGGCAGCAGUGGGGAAUAUUGGGCAAUGGGCGCAAGCCUGACCCAGCAACGCCGCGUGAAGGAAGAAGGCUUUCGGGUUGUAAACUUCUUUUGUCAGGGAACAGUAGAAGAGGGUACCUGACGAAUAAGCCACGGCUAACUACGUGUCAGCAGCCGCGGUAAUCUGAGCGGGCUGGCAAGGC